AGUUUUUCAUAUGCUAAUUUACUCCUAGGGGGUCAAUAGGUUUACUAAGUGAUGAGCUACGUAUUGCAUGAGUUGUUUUGGUUGGGGCAACCGCGGAGUAGAGAUAUCCUCCGCUGAGGCGACAGUCAAGGUGAUGUCCUUACUGUGCAGGCACUGUUUUUUGUGAUCCGCCGAGUGGGCGAGCAAAAGAACAAGUUACCGCAGGGAUAACAGCGUAAUUUCCUUGGAGAGUUCAUAUUGAUAAGGAAGUUUGCGACCUCGAUGUUGGAUCGGGAUUUCCUAGGGGUGCAGCAGCUCCUGAGGGUUGGUCUGUUCGACCAUUAAAAUCCUACGUGAUCUGAGUUCAGACCGGCGGGAGCCAGGUCAGUUUCUAUCUGCGACUUAUAAGAAAUGGCCGUCUUUAGUACGAAAGGAUUAAGAUGGCGGCACCUAUGUCUUUUGGUAAGUGCCUAAGAUUG
rnacentral:rRNA from 1 species